ACUACAGGUCUGUUAUCGCUUAUACACAUUAUAAUUUAAAUUUAUUUCUCUUAUUUCCUUGUUUUCUUAACAAAACUUUUACAUUCCCACGAACGGAAAGUUUUUCUAAUAAACAAGAUAAUUACAUAAAUUUCAUAGGUUUCUUAUGGCUGUAUAAAAACGGGAAUGUAGACGAAAAUCAUUCAUUGAAUAAUUAACAAUGGCAUCUCUACGUCUUUUCAAACGAGCGGCUGUCAUUCUUCUGUUUGCUGCUGCAAAUCUUUUUGCUGCAUCGAAUGGGCAACUCACGUUUUCCAGCGGUUGGGGAAAGCGGUCUGGUAAUGAUGACGAGAUCAUAAUAAACUUGGAUGACCAGCUCCAAUAGCUUCGGCGAUCUGACGACCAUUAAAGGACAAGGAAUAACGCUACCAGUUUUUGUUGCCGAUAUUUAGGUUUAAGACGUAUUAGUGAUGUCAUCACAGCCCAAGAAUAUAUAAUAGGGAAUAGUACCUAAAAGAAUGAAUCCAUUAUGUGUCUACGAAAAUCUAUGAUAUUGGUGGUUUAUUAAUAUGUCAUCUAGCUUACAAAUAUAUUUUAUAACAGUGAUAGAAGAUUCUAUGGUGUAGAUAGUGCAAUAUGAUAUUAGUUUCCGAUUAAGUGUUUGCUUUGUAAUAGUAUUUAAAAAACCAUAAACAACUAGAGUCAACAAUUAACAAAUGUAAAGAAAUCAAAGGACGGAAAAAUGAGCAAGUUUAAAAAUAAAAUGGCGGAGAUGUUUAAUUUAUCAUCACAUAGUAGUAUGAUCACCGAAAUAUUUAUAAUAUUAUAAUCAUCGCAGCACA